rnacentral:pre_miRNA from 1 species
UAUGUACUCCCUCCGUCCGGAAAUACUUGUCAUCAAAAUGGAUAAACGGAGAUGUAUCUAGACGUAUUUUAGUUCUAGAUACAUCCUCUUUUAUCCAUUUUGAUGACAAGUAUUUUCGGACGGAGGGAGUAUAUG